GAAUGAUGAAAUCCUUGAAUGGUUUGGCCUGGAAGGGACCCUAAGGAUCAUCUGGUUCCAAGCUGAGCAGCCUCCCAGCACAGCAGGUUGCUGCGGCCCCUGUCCAAGCUGGCCUUGGAUGUUGGUGGGCAUGGGUUGCUGACAAAGAGUCCUCUCCCACUUCCCUGUGGGUCAGGCUGUUCCUGCAGUGUCACACAUGUGGCUGAAGCUGCAGCCAGGAGAGAGAGAAGCCAAGCUGCCAGAGAGAGGCAAUGGGGAAAGUGACAUGAGAGUGAGCCCGUGUGAGCGAGCUGCACUCCCAGAGGCCGGAGCACACUUGCUUCAAGUGCUGAUGAAUGAGGCCAGAGAUGGGUCUUUGUGUGGAACUCCAAACGCUGUGCAUUGCCACGAAGAGGGUCCAGGGCCAGAGAGAAAAUGAGGCUGGGGUCUGAGGGUUUCAUUCGGGGGGGAGAAGGGGUGAAGCCAGGACCAGCAGGGGAGAAGAGAGAGGAGAACAUUCUCUGGAGAGUAGAUAUAAGGAAAAAAUGGCAGUUGAAGUGGGUGAUAGCAACAAAACCUGCGGAUUGCAAGAGGCUGCAAGUGGCCAUGGGUGAGAGCCUUGCAUUCAGAGGGGUUUCUCUGUUUCACCUUGGUCCCCUUUGCCCUAAGGUAUUACAGUUGCAAUGAGAGGCCCCUGGGCCUCCACAACUGCCCCCUUUUUGUUUUCAAGAACGAAGGCUUCUGCCAUGGACUUUUGCAUGCGUUGAGCAAAAAUGGAUAGAAUAACCAAGACAAUGAAUACCAGAAACAAAGCCCACAAAACAGUCUUGACUAAAGAUGAAAGCCAGCCUUUCAUGCCCCAGUCUUUCAAAGUCCAGUGAGCCAGUCGUUGUUGCUUUUUGUCUGGAUCUUAUUGAUUUGAUAUGUGAGCAGCUGGCUGCUAUGGUAUACUGAGUCCCUAUGUGAGAAGAGGUUGACAUGCGUGGCCAUGGGCAAGAAAUUGUGGCUUGGCUGUGGAACCAGCCAUCCGAAGGCAUGCGGCAUAGUUAGGAGCAUCCAGCUUCCUGCUGCAGUGGCAAGAAAGGACAGCAUCCUUUGACUUUAGCUAAUUUAGUAGUGGGAGGAGGCUUGGGUGGCCUGAAAGUAAAGAGAUAGGGAGAUUGCAAUGUGAAACUGAAAUUCUGGUCCCACUAAACUUUCUCUUCUGUAAGGCAAGGGUUUGAAGUCAGCUUAUUAGAAGAAUCAAAUAUCAAGGCUAGAAUACAGUUUUUCCAAUUGUUAAGCAGUAUAUCGCAGUUAGUGGUGUCUGAGCUCUCUUGGUGUUGGUCUGUGUGGUCCACACUGCUUAGGAGAUCUUCUUCUGUCCUUCUUCUUUUCCAGGCUGCUGCUGUCUCUCUUAGGCUUUUGUUCUGUUUUUCUGAUGGUGUCCCUGGUGUUUGCCUGGCCAUUGGCAGAAGGGUUUGAUGUUUUUUGCUGGGAUCCAUCUUGGGCCUGCUGCUGUAGAGACACAAGCAUAUCCUCCCUCCCAAGUAAUGAAUGGGAAAGGGCCCAUAAUUUGUUUGGAUUCAGGGUCUUUGAUCAACACAGGUGGCUUUUCUUGUUAUUGGGCUGCCAAUUAAAUAUAAAAUGCCUGAUGACUGGGGGAGUUGUUGAAAAAGUUGAGCACAUCAAGGGCCUUGGCCAGUCUCUCAAUGGGAGAUAAUAUGUGGACUCCCUGUCUCUGUUGAUCAAGGAUCCUUUGGAUGGAAGAGUGGGCCCUCUGGACUAUGGACUGUCCUGUGGCAGAGUGUGGUAUGGCUGUGACAUGUUUUGUAGCCCACUGGUCAGAAAAUGGUUGGAAUCAGUGGGAGGUAUUAGCAGGACCAUGAUCAGUUUUAAUUUCCUGUGGAACAGGGAAGGUGGAAAAGGCUAAAAAGUAACGUUUUAUAGCAUCUUUUUGUAGCAGGCACAAGGCCUGCAAGGCCUUGGAGAUCAGAAGCCUGAGCUAGGAAAUACCAAAGUCAGCAUGACUAAGGUUUUAGAAGCCCCUCUCUUCCCCCUUUGGGACCCUGUUGUCUCCCUGUAUAUCCAUAGGUCACUUUUCCCCUGACCCUUACUAUUGGACAGUUUUCAAUACCCCUGUAAGGUAUAAAAACCCCUCACUCUGCCCGGUUCGGCAGAGGAGAGCUGUCACUGGACCCUUCGCGGAGACCCCAAUAAAAGAACCCUGCGGAACCCACA